AUUGAACGCUGGCGGCAGGCCUAACACAUGCAAGUCGAGCGGAUGAAGAGAGCUUGCUCUCUGAUUUAGCGGCGGACGGGUGAGUAAUGCCUAGGAAUCUGCCUGGUAGUGGGGGAUAACGUUCCGAAAGGAACGCUAAUACCGCAUACGUCCUACGGGAGAAAGCAGGGGACCUUCGGGCCUUGCGCUAUCAGAUGAGCCUAGGUCGGAUUAGCUAGUUGGUGAGGUAAUGGCUCACCAAGGCUACGAUCCGUAACUGGUCUGAGAGGAUGAUCAGUCACACAGGAACUGAGACACGGUCCAGACGCCUACGGGAGGCAGCAGUGGGGAAUAUUGGACAAUGGGCGAAAGCCUGAUCCAGCCAUGCCGCGUGUGUGAAGAAGGUCUUCGGAUUGUAAAGCACUUUAAGUUGGGAGGAAGGGCAGUAAGUUAAUACCUUGCUGUUUUGACGUUACCGACAGAAUAAGCACCGGCUAACUUCGUGCCAGCCGCCGCAGUAAGAC
rnacentral:rRNA from 1 species